CGGGGGUGGCUGGCGUCCCUGGGUGACUUCUUGGCGCCGCCGGCGUCCAACGUGCGCGUCACCAGCAGAGUGGACCUGCUGGACCAGGCGUCGCUGUCGCAAGCGUUCGUGCGCUUCCUGGAGGAAGAGUCGCAGCCCCAGGCCACGCCGCGCCUGCCCGCCCUCAGCAUGGCACAGGAGACUGAGACUCGCGUGAGACUGGCCAAGAGCGCCAGCAACCCGCUGGUGGGGGCCACGGUCGCCCCCCUCCCCUUCUCCCUGGCGCCUCCCCUCCAACAGGAGGGACACGUCCUAACACAAACAGAAACAGAACAGCAGCAACAGACUGGCGAGCAACAAGAAGAACAGCAAGAACAACAGCAACAACAACAGCAGCAAAUGCAAC